UAGCUCAGUGGUAGAGUGCUUGCCUUGCAUGCAUGAGGCCGUGGCUUCAAUUCCUC
rnacentral:tRNA from 1 species